GGCGCGAAAACUUUGCCAUGCGGGAAACCGUGACAAGGGAACUCUGAGUGCCCGUUAAAUCGGGCUGUCCAUCGGUUUAAAUAACCGGUGAAGAAAGGGCCGGGCAAGACCGGUGCCAGCCGCCGCGGUAAUACCGGCGGCUCGAGUGGUGGCCACUAUUACUGGGCUUAAAGCGUUCGUAGCUGGUUUGUUAAGUCUCUGGGGAAAUCUUCCGGCUUAACCGGAAGGCGUCUCAGGGAUACUGGCAGACUAGGGACCGGGAGAGGUGAGAGGUACUCCAGGGGUAGGAGUGAAAUCCUGUAAUCCUUGGGGGACCACCUGUGGCGAAGGCGUCUCACCAGAACGGCUCCGACAGUGAGGGACGAAAGCUGGGGGAGCAAACCGGAUUAGAUACCCGGGUAGUCCCAGCUGUAAACGAUGCGCGUUAGGUGUAUCGGUGACCACGAGUCACCGAGGUGCCGAAGAGAAAUCGUGAAACGUGCCGCCUGGGAAGUACGGUCGCAAGGCUGAAACUUAAAGGAAUUGGCGGGGGAGCAC
rnacentral:rRNA from 1 species